rnacentral:rRNA from 1 species
GAUGAACGCUGGCGGCGUGCCUAAUACAUGCAAGUCGAGCGAACAGAUAAGGAGCUUGCUCCUUUGACGUUAGCGGCGGACGGGUGAGUAACACGUGGGUAACCUACCUAUAAGACUGGGAUAACUUCGGGAAACCGGAGCUAAUACCGGAUAACAUUUGGAACCGCAUGGUUCUAAAGUGAAAGAUGGUUUUGCUAUCACUUAUAGAUGGACCCGCGCCGGAUUAGCUAGUUGGUAAGGUAACGGCUUACCAAGGCAACGAUACGUAGCCGACCUGAGAGGGUGAUCGGCCACACUGGAACUGAAACGCGGUCCAGACUCCUACGGGAGGCAGCAGUAGGGAAUCUUCCGCAAUGGGCGAAAGCCUGACGGAGCAACGCCGCGUGAGUGAUGACGGGUUUCGGCUCGUAAAACUCUGUUAUGAGGGAAGAACAAAUGUGUAAGUAACUGUGCACGUCUUGACGGUACCUAAUCAGAAAGCCACGGCUAACUACGUG